CACUGUUAAAAAAUCCUGUUAAUUUACAUGAAAAUUUAACAGCAAAAUUCUGUUUUCGUUUAAUAGCAGUAUGUUACUGUUUUAUACAGUGCAUUGUGGGAAGACUUGUUCACUUCAGGUUAGUGGUCGAACAACCACAGUAUGUCACUGUUAUUUAACAGCAUUAUACCAUAUUUUCCUAUCUGCGCCAUUUUGGAUUAUCAGCAUGAGGCAAAGUAUUUCUGAAAACAACGCUAAGAUAUGCUGGGUAGCGGAAAACGUCUGAAACAGUGACUGGGUAGCGUUAGCUUAAACAGGAGAUUCAAAUGCUCGUGACUAAAAGGAGGAAGUCUAAUGGCUCUUGAUUCUUCAAAAAAAUGAUUCUUCAAAAAAAUGAGCCAGUGCUCCACAGAGAUCUGAUCUCAUCAUCAUCCAGUCUUUCUGAAAUGACAUGAAGAACCAGAACAAACUGAGACAAAGUAAAUCCAGAAGACAUGUGGAAACGUCUCCAAGAUGCUUCAAGAAACCUACCUUUUAACUGUUGUUUAACUGGCUUGUAUGUUGUAAACCAUGUUUUCAUUUGUUUGUUAUGAGUUCACCCAAAAAUGAAAAUUCUGUCAUCAUUUACUCACCCUCUUGUCAUUGUAAACCUGUAUAACUUUCUUUUUUUCUGCAGAACACACAGGAAGACAUUUUGAAUAAUGUUGGUAACCAGCCCCCAUUCACUUGCAUUGGUUUUUUGAUGUGAUUGGGUGUCGGCGCUGUUCGUUUACCAACUUUCUUCAAAAUAUCAUCUUUUGUGUUCUACAGAAGAAAGAAAGUCAUAAAAGUUUGAAAUAACCAGAGGGUGAGCUAAUGACAGAAUUAUCAGAACUAUCACUUUAAACCUUUUUGUUUUUUAAUUGAAUGAUUUUUUAUUAACUUUUUUCGUUUUAGGUUAGUGACAUUGAUUUGAAGCUACAUUUGUAUUUUAUGUUAAGGCAUUUAUAAUGCCUUAUUGUGUUUUGUUUUUGUUUAGUUGCUUUACGAAAGCCAUUUUUGUAUUUUUAUACGUUAUGGGUGCUUUUUUGUUGCACCAUAGUUUGUGCAUUAAAUAUUAUAAUGAUGGCUUGUAUUUUUGCCCAUUUUAUGGCAUAACAAACAAAGCAUAUAAAAUCUGAUGUUGAAUAGGAAUAAAGAAA